GGUUGUGGCUCAGUGGUAGAGUGCUUGCCUAGCAUGUUUAAGUACUGGGUUUGAACCCUAGCACCA
rnacentral:tRNA from 1 species